UACUAUACUAAAAGAAGAAUAAACUCCACAGCUAAGGUGUCCACAUCAGCAAAUUAAUUCGAGCCAAUCAGAUUCUAAAUAUAUGCCAUGUCAGCACGACCUUAAUCUUCCUUGCAAAUUUGUCGAUCAAAAUCCCAGAAACAGAUCAUUUGCUCACCCCGUUACAAUCUCUACAUCUCUUUUUCUCUCUUCUCCGAGCUUCUCCGUUGGGUGAACGACUACUGUUGAAUUGAUUUCUUCCUUUCGAUUCGAUUCUCUCUACCGAUUACUAAGGUUCUCUCUCUCUCCAUAGAUCAUCUCUCCUUUGUUUAUCCGCGAACGUAUCUCUCUAUUCUGAGCAGUUAGAUAGCCACCUUCUUUCUCUUCUCUUCUAAUUUAGUCUUUUGAUAGAUCUGAUUGAGAUUUUUUGAGGGUUUCAUCUUUCCAGCUUAUGGGUUUCGAUAAAGCCUCUUCCUUUACUUACGAUCACCCAUCUGCUAUUGGUUCAUCAAUGGCUGUUGAGAAAGGUUGGUCGUGACUGAAGCUUGACUCCGGAGAUGAAGAACUCGCCGUGAAAGCUUGGUCGCGGUAAAGCUCCGAGAUGGUGAGGUUGAAGACGACUCGACAGAGACGAAGCUUUCACUGAGAAGAGCACGGCUUGACGAAGCGGGUAAGAAACAUCGGGUUGGAGCGACGAAGCCUAACCGUUCGUUCCAGUUUCGAAUCAUCACAAGUGCUGGAGCGGGCAACGCACAGCGGGUUGAUGAAGUGGCCGUACCAUGAGCGUGCGCUGGAGCAGGUGGUGCUAGCGAGGAGAAGAAACCGCUCGGGACCUCAAACAAACUCGAAGCUGCACAGCAGCUUCUCAAAACAGGCUGAUGAAACCGCUGUGGUCAUUGCACUGCUCGGAGCAGCUUAGUGGAGCGAGGAGAAGAGGCCGCUCGCUUUGGUGAUCGUUGUGGAAUUUGCCAGGUUCAUUCUUAUCAAGGAUAAUGAGUAACAGGAGCAGCAGCAAUCGUUUUGAUUAUUUAAAGUUGCAAGCUUUUUUCUAGAUUUAGGACAAACUUUCAGUUAUGAGUGCAUCAUGGGCAGAUGUGGCUGACUCUGAGAAGGCUGCUUCCAGGGCAAAGCCUGCUUAUGUUCCCACACAUCUAAGGAACAUGCAGUCUGAGCCUGUUGCUACUUUGCCACAAAAUGAUCGUCCGGGGUAUGGUGGUCAACCGUCUAGAUGGGCUCCUGGAGGUGGAGUUGGUGGAGGCGGUGGCUACAGGAAUGAUGUAGGGAGGACGAGUAAGUGGUGGUGGUGGCUGGAACAACAGAGGUGGAGGAUGGGACCGUGAAGUUAAUCCGUUUGGAGAUGAUGCUGAUUUAGAACCUGCCGUUCAGGAGAAUACUGGCAUUAAUUUUGAUGCUUAUGAAGAUAUUCCCAUCGAGACCAGUUGAGGAUACGUGCCUCCUCCUGUUAACACUUUUGCUGACAUUGAUUUUGGGGAGGCGUUGAAUCUCAACAUCAGGAGGUGUAAGUACGUGAGGACAACACCUGUACAGCGUCACGCCAUUCCGAUACUUCUUGCAGAGAGGGAUUGAUGGCAUGUGCUUAGACAGGGUCUGUGAAGACUGCUGCCUUUUGCUUUCCGAUAAUUAGUGGAAUCAUGAGAGAUCAGCACCUUCAGAGACCUCGUGGUUCACGGACCGUUUACCCUCUUGCAAUUAUCCUCUCACCAACAAGGGAGCUGGCAUCUCAGAUUCAUGAAGCGAAAACAUUCACAUGCCAAACUGGUGUGAAGGUCAUUGUUGCUUACGGAGGAACACCUAUUAACCAGCAGGUAAUUAUCAUGCACAUGUAAUUUUUCUUUCUUGGUUGUCCACCUUUGUCUUUGGAUAUUGUUUUAUGUUUUAUAGGGGUGUUGUCUAUUUUAAGUUAAUAGCAGCUUACGGCUUACUGGUUUGGGGUCUGCUAGCUCUAUUCUUCCUUAUAUCAGUCUCAUUUUUGAAAUUAUGUUUUGAUUUUGAAGUCAGCAGUGCAUGAUUAAUAUUGUAUCGUACAUAACAUCAUGUUUAACGUGAUCCUCAUCCUCUUCA